rnacentral:rRNA from 1 species
AAUCGGGCAGGCCUAACACAUGCAAGUCGAGGGGCAGCGGGGAUAAGCUUGCUUAUCCGCCGGCGACCGGCGCACGGGUGCGGAACGCGUAUGGAACCUGCCCCUGUCAGGGGAAUAGCCCAGGGAAACUUGGAUUAAUGCCCCAUGGUACCGCGAUAUCGCAUGAUAUUGCGGUUAAAGAUUUAUCGGACAGGGAUGGCCAUGCGUACCAUUAGCUAGUUGGUAAGGUAACGGCUUACCAAGGCAACGAUGGUUAGGGGCCCUGAGAGGGGGAUCCCCCACACUGGUACUGAGACACGGACCAGACUCCUACGGGAGGCAGCAGUGAGGAAUAUUGGACAAUGGUCGGAAGACUGAUCCAGCCAUGCCGCGUGCAGGAUGACGGCCCUAUGGGUUGUAAACUGCUUUUAUACGGGAAGAAACCCGCCUACGUGUAGGCGGCUGACUGUACCGUAAGAAUAAGGACCGGCUAACUCCGUGCCAGCAGCCGCGGUAAUACGGAGGGUCCGAGCGUUAUCCGGAAUCAUUGGGUUUAAAGGGUCCGUAGGCGGGCCUGUAAGUCAGGGGUGAAAGUUUGUGGCUCAACCAUAAAAUUGCCUUUGAUACUGCAGGUCUUGAGUCAUGGUGGGGUUGCCGGAACAUGUGGUGUAGCGGUGAAAUGCAUAGAUAUCACAUAGAACACCGAUCGCGAAGGCAGGUGACCAACCAUGUACUGACGCUGAUGGACGAAAGCGUGGGUAGCGAACGGGAUUAGAUACCCCGGUAGUCCACGCCGUAAACGAUGGAUACUAGCUGUGGGGACCUCGGUCUCCGUGGCCAAGCGAAAGUGAUAAGUAUCCCACCUGGGGAGUACGUUCGCAAGAAUGAAACUCAAAGGAAUUGACGGGGCCCGCACAAGCGGUGGAGCAUGUGGUUUAAUUCGAUGAUACGCGAGGAACCUUACCAG